UCAUGGUGGCCAGAUGGUAAAGCGUCUGCCUGGAAUGCAGGAGACCCGGGUUUGAUUCCUGGGUCAGGAA
rnacentral:tRNA from 1 species